AAACCUUAUCUAAAGGUCUGACU
rnacentral:snRNA from 1 species